UCGCGUCCGUAGCUCAGCCUGGUAGAGCGCCCGCCCGUAAGGCGGGAGGUCGCCGGUUCGAAUCCGGUCGGGCGAACCA
rnacentral:tRNA from 1 species